rnacentral:rRNA from 1 species
UGGGGAAUUUUGGACAAUGGGCGAAAGCCUGAUCCAGCAAUGCCGCGUGUGUGAAGAAGGCCUUCGGGUUGUAAAGCACUUUUGUCCGGAAAGAAAUCCUUGGCUCUAAUACAGUCGGGGGAUGACGGUACCGGAAGAAUAAGCACCGGCUAACUACGUGCCAGCAGCCGCGGUAAUACGUAGGGUGCAAGCGUUAAUCGGAAUUACUGGGCGUAAAGCGUGCGCAGGCGGUUUGCUAAGACCGAUGUGAGAUCCCCGGGCUCAACCUGGGAACUGCAUUGGUGACUGGCAGGCUAGAGUAUGGCAGAGGGGGGUAAAUUCCACGUGUAGCAGUGAAAUGCGUAGAGAUGUGGAGGAAUACCGAUGGCGAAGGCAGCCCCCUGGGGCCAAAUACUGACGCUCAUGCACGAAAAGCGUGGGGAGCAAACAGGAUUAGAUACCCUGGUAGUCCACGCCCUAAACGAUGUCAACUAGUUGUGGGGAUUCAUUUCCUUAGUAACGUAGCUAACGCGUGAAGUUGACCGCCU